rnacentral:rRNA from 1 species
GACGAAGCGUGCGAACGUUGUUCGGAAUCACUGGGCUUAAAGGGCGCGUAGGCGGGUUCGCGAGUCGGGGGUGAAAUCUUUCAGCUCAACUGGAAAAGUGCCCCCGAUACUGCGAGUCUCGAGGGAGGUAGGGGCAUGUGGAACUUCCGGUGGAGCGGUGAAAUGCGUAGAUAUCGGAAGGAACGCCGGUGGCGAAAGCGACGUGCUGGACCUCUUCUGACGCUGAGGCGCGAAAGCUAGGGGAGCAAACGGG